rnacentral:rRNA from 1 species
UACGAAGGUCCCGAGCGUUAUCCGGAUUUAUUGGGUUUAAAGGGUGCGUAGGCGGGUUAUUAAGUCAGUGGUGAAAGCCUACAGCUUAACUGUAGAAUUGCCAUUGAUACUGAUGAUCUUGAGUGUGAUUGAGGUGGGCGGAAUGUGUCAUGUAGCGGUGAAAUGCUUAGAUAUGACACAGAACACCGAUUGCGAAGGCAGCUCACUAAGUCAACACUGACGCUGAUGCACGAAAGCGUGGGGAGCAAACAGG